AGGGCGCAUGGUGGAUGCCUUGGCAUCGAGAGCCGAUGAAGGACGUGGGAGGCUGCGAUAUGCCUCGGGGAGCUGUCAACCGAGCAUUGAUCCGAGGAUUUCCGAAUGGGGAAACCCAGCACGAGUGAUGUCGUGUUACCCGUAUCUGAAUAUAUAGGGUGCGGGAGGUAACGCGGGGAAGUGAAACAUCUCAGUACCCGUAGGAGAAGAAAACAAUUGUGAUUCCGUCAGUAGUGGCGAGCGAACGCGGAACAGGCUAAACCGCAUGCAUGGACAACCGGGUAGGGGUUGUGUGUGCGGGGUUGUGGGAUUGAUAUGUCUCAGCUCUACCUGGCUGAGGGGUAGUCAGAAAGUGUCGUGGUUAGCGGAAGUGGCCUGGGACGGCCCGCCGUAGACGGUGAGAGCCCGGUACGCGAAAACCCGGCACCUGCCUUAUAUCAACACCCGAGUAGCAGCGGGCCCGUGGAAUCUGCUGUGAAUCUGCCGGGACCACCCGGUAAGCCUAAAUACUUCUCGAUGACCGAUAGCGGAUUAGUACCGUGAGGGAAUGGUGAAAAGUACCCCGGGAGGGGAGUGAAAUAGUACCUGAAACCGUGUGCCUACAAUCCGUCAGAGCCUCCUCGUGGGGUGAUGGCGUGCCUUUUGAAGAAUGAGCCUGCGAGUCAGGGACACGUCGCGAGGUUAACCCGUGCGGGGUAGCCGCAGCGAAAGCGAGUCUGAAUAGGGCGCAUCCCCUUUGGGGUGUAGUGGCGUGUUCUGGACCCGAAGCGGAGUGAUCUACCCAUGGCCAGGGUGAAGCGCGGGUAAGACCGCGUGGAGGCCCGAACCCACUUAGGUUGAAGACUGAGGGGAUGAGCUGUGGGUAGGGGUGAAAGGCCAAUCAAACUCCGUGAUAGCUGGUUCUCCCCGAAAUGCAUUUAGGUGCAGCGUUGCGUGGUUCACCACGGAGGUAGAGCUACUGGAUGGCCGAUGGGCCCUACUAGGUUACUGACGUCAGCCAAACUCCGAAUGCCGUGGUGUAAAGCGUGGCAGUGAGACGGCGGGGGAUAAGCUCCGUACGUCGAAAGGGAAACAGCCCAGAUCGCCGGCUAAGGCCCCUAAGCGUGUGCUAAGUGGAAAAGGAUGUGUAGUCGCAGAGACAACCAGGAGGUUGGCUUAGAAGCAGCCACCCUUGAAAGAGUGCGUAAUAGCUCACUGGUCAAGUGAUUAUGCGCCGAUAAUGUAGCGGGGCUCAAGCACACCGCCGAAGCCGCGGCACAUUCAUCUUUACGGUGGAUGUGGGUAGGGGAGCGUCCCCCAUUCAGCGAAGCCUCCGGGUGACCGGUGGUGGAGGGUGGGGGAGUGAGAAUGCAGGCAUGAGUAGCGAUAAGGCAAGUGAGAACCUUGCCCGCCGUAAGACCAAGGGUUCCUGGGCCAGGCCAGUCCGCCCAGGGUGAGUCGGGACCUAAGGCGAGGCCGACAGGCGUAGUCGAUGGACAACGGGUUGAUAUUCCCGUACCCGUGUAUGGGCGUCCCUGAUGAAUCAGCGGUACUAACCACCCAAAACCGGAUCGACCAUUCCCCUUCGGGGGCGUGGCGAUUCGGGGCUGCGUGGGACCUUCGCUGGUAGUAGUCAAGCAAUGGGGUGACGCAGGAAGGCAGCCGUACCAGUCAGUGGUAAUACUGGGGCAAGCCCGUAGGGAGAGCGAUAGGCAAAUCCGUCGCUCACUAAUCCUGAGAGGUGAUGCAUAGCCGGUUGAGGCGAAUUCGGUGAUCCUCUGCUGCCAAGAAAAGCCUCUAGCGAGCACAUACACGGCCCGUACCCCAAACCAACACAGGUGGUCAGGUAGAGAAUACCAAGGCGUACGAGAUAACUAUGGUUAAGGAACUCGGCAAAAUGCCCCCGUAACUUCGGGAGAAGGGGGGCCGGAAUACCGUGAACACCCUUGCGGUGGGAGCGGGAUUCGGCCGCAGAAACCAGUGGGUAGCGACUGUUUACUAAAAACACAGGUCCGUGCGAAGUCGCAAGACGAUGUAUACGGACUGACGCCUGCCCGGUGCUGGAAGGUUAAGAGGACCCGUUAACCCGUAAGGGUGAAGCGGAGAAUUUAAGCCCCAGUAAACGGCGGUGGUAACUAUAACCAUCCUAAGGUAGCGAAAUUCCUUGUCGGGUAAGUUCCGACCUGCACGAAUGGCGUAACGACUUCCCAACUGUCUCAACCAUAGACUCGGCGAAAUUGCACUACGAGUAAAGAUGCUCGUUACGCGCGGCAGGACGAAAAGACCCCGGGACCUUCACUACAACUUGGUAUUGGUGUUCGGUACGGUUUGUGUAGGAUAGGUGGGAGACUUUGAAGCACAGACGCCAGUUUGUGUGGAGUCGUUGUUGAAAUACCACUCUGAUCGUAUUGGACACCUAACGUCGAACCCUUAUCGGGUUCACGGACAGUGCCUGGCGGGUAGUUUAACUGGGGCGGUUGCCUCCUAAAAUGUAACGGAGGCGCCCAAAGGUUCCCUCAACCUGGACGGCAAUCAGGUGGCGAGUGUAAGUGCACAAGGGAGCUUGACUGCGAGACUUACAAGUCAAGCAGGGACGAAAGUCGGGACUAGUGAUCCGGCACCCCCGAGUGGAAGGGGUGUCGCUCAACGGAUAAAAGGUACCCCGGGGAUAACAGGCUGAUCUUCCCCAAGAGUCCAUAUCGACGGGAUGGUUUGGCACCUCGAUGUCGGCUCGUCGCAUCCUGGGGCUGGAGCAGGUCCCAAGGGUUGGGCUGUUCGCCCAUUAAAGCGGCACGCGAGCUGGGUUUAGAACGUCGUGAGACAGUUCGGUCUCUAUCCGCCGCGCGCGUCAGAAACUUGAGGAAACCUGUCCCUAGUACGAGAGGACCGGGACGGACGAACCUCUGGUAUACCAGUUGUCCCACCAGGGGCACGGCUGGAUAGCCACGUUCGGACAGGAUAACCGCUGAAAGCAUCUAAGCGGGAAACCUUCUCCAAGAUCAGGUUUCUCACCCUUUU
rnacentral:rRNA from 1 species